GCCAGGUGCAGUGGUGCAUGCCAGUAGUCCCAGCUUUUUGGGAGGCUGAGUUGGGAGGAUCACUUGAGCCCAGGAGUUCUGGGCUGUAGUCUGCUAUGCCAAUCAGGUGUCUGCACUAAGUUCGGCAUCAAUAUGGUGACCUCUUGGGAGCAGGGGACCACCAGGUUGCCUAAGGAGAGGUGAACAGGCCCAGGUCAGAAAAGGAGCAGGUCAAAACUCUGAUCAGUAGUGGGAUCGAGCCUGCGAAUAGCCACUGCACUCCAGCCUGGGCAACAUAGUGAGAUCCUGUCUCUU
ensembl:misc_RNA Metazoa_SRP Metazoan signal recognition particle RNA